GGGGUAGAUAACUAGAAAAACAGCAGCAUGAAGUGUGCAUUGGAGUACUUAAUGGUGGCACCUGGGCAAAUUAUUCUAGGCAUGUCUGCACAGACCUCAAAUGAUGGAGCAUUCUCCUCCCCUCCUCUGGCUGUCCUUUGUCAGACUCUACAAUCAUCGCUAGAAGAAAAAAGUUGACUUAACCGUUCUUUGUUGAAAUUCGGGACUAUGUUAGAGAUACCAGGUCUCAAUCAAAUACAGCCUUCAUUAAAAGAUUC
rnacentral:lncRNA from 1 species